rnacentral:siRNA from 1 species
AAGAGUCCGAUAAAUGUGAAGAA